rnacentral:tRNA from 1 species
GCCGAUGUGGCGGAAUUGGUAGACGCAUCCGACUCAAAAUCGGACGGGCAACCGUAGGGGUUCGAGUCCCCUCAUCGGCA